AUGUCAACGUGCCAGUCAUCAGCGCGUGAGUGAGGGAUAGUGCGCAAUUGGAUUAAAUUCAAUGAAAAUUAAUAAAAAAGUAGUUUUCCAAGUGAUAUCAAAAGGAAUGUUUGUAAAAAAAAGUGAGUGUGUCCUCAAGAAAUGUUCGUUUUAGCGUUAGGAGGUCCUGCUACAAACAUCAAGCACAAUUUUAUCAACCGAUUUGGGCAAGUUUCUUCCAGGGAUUCCUAGAAAAUCCGGAAAUAUCAGUGCAGAUAGUGUUGGUCGUACAGAUGGUGCAAGUGGCUCUCAUUUGAGCUCUAGACAACAGCAGGUCGUUCCGUGAAGCAAGUGAUCAUUCAAAUUUGGACAUCCUCAUCACUGACGCUUUGAUAGUCGUUCAAGAAGAAUACGGAGGAGAGGGCGGAAAGUUUGACUUCAGAGAUGGAGAAUAUCAUUAAAUCAUGGAACUUAAGGGAUCCAAUGAUGGUAAUGGAAAUUUUGUCUGAAAACAACAUUGAAAUCUACCAGCUGCUUCAUAUGGAUGCUCACGAUAUCCGCAAGAAACGUUCCUAUUAAAUUGCACAUACAAUUUAAAAGCGAAUUAAAAUUAUGGAGAAAGAAUUUCCACGAAUAUCCUGUAAUGGUAGCAUUGUAGAGCAAAGUAUCUUGAUAUGAAGAACUGCAUUUACAUAUUGCCUCUCCAUGGACUGCAUAAACCGGAUAAGCAAAGAUAGUCAGAACAUCAUGGAAAUCGUCAUCGACAAUGUUUCAAAAAUGAAGGACAGUGCUAAAUUUAAAAUAACCAGAGCAGUACAGCAAGGUAUGGACUUUUAUGCAAUUAUAUUUUUCGAUAUUGACAAUAAUAGCUCAAUUUACAAUAAAAAAUUUGGAAAGUAUUGAUGUAAAGUAGUGUUAUACAGGCUUCAGACCUUAGGCUUAACCAUAUGACUUAACUUAUCCAGUUUCUUGUCAGUCAAUAUAUUUUUUGGAAAAUAUUGAAUAGGAUUAAUUAUUAAAAACUCCAGAAAGAGAGCAUUAUAUAUAAUCCUACUAUUUUGAGCUAUAUAUAUUUCAACUGCUUACCCCCCAAGGGGUCGUGUUUUAGUAGAAUUUUGGAAAUCGAAAGUUUUGAGUUUUUGGUGUUACGCUGUUUGUCCGUUUGUCCAUGCGGAAAGGCCUUAGAAUUUCUCACAACUCUGAUCCGGUUUCAAUCGAUUAUAAACUUGUAAUGAACUGGUUAUUGGUUAUGAACCGAAAAUUAAUUUUUGUCCAAAAAUCUAUUUUAUUACUUCGAAAACUGUUUUGGGGGAUUCUUUAAGUGAUUUAUGAAUCGGUUCAAAUCGGUUGAAAACCGGUAAACGGUAGAUAAUGAAAAAAUACUUUUGAAGUGUAGUAUCUAAAUCACAAGUUCGUACAAUAUGCAAAGACUGGGAUACUUUGCCAUCCCUUUUAAAAUACCUUAGGUCAAUUGAGUCAUAUGAAGCAGAAUAUGAAUAAGCCUUAGAUUUGAAGCCCAUAUAACUAUGAAUGUUAGGAUAUAAUGAAUCAAAUAAAUUGAAUUAGUAUGAAA